UGGGUAGGUCCAGGACCCAGCUGGUCUCCGUCCUGUGGCUCAGGUGCAAGGAGAGCCUCCCUGGGCCACCUGGGGAAGUCUGACCGACGUGCCAGAUCCUCACAGAACAAAGGCACCCCCUCUCUCAGCACCAGGGAGCUCCUCCAGGAGCACUUCCUCCCAUGUCUGUGUUCGCCGUUAAGACUGGACACACCAGGAUGAUCUUUCAACUUUGGCCCUCAGUGGAUGUAAAAUAGGUACAUGACGACUUGAACUGAACAUUUUUUUCACUUCACCAUAACCUGGAUUUUCCCAGUUUAGGAGCAUCUGUUUGUCUUGAUAACGUUUGGAACAAAGUGCUACUCUGGGACACCACCCCCAGUGGAAACCCCACCUUUACAAGGAUUCGAAG
rnacentral:lncRNA from 1 species